rnacentral:lncRNA from 1 species
GAGAAAACAGUUUCAUUUUAAAUUAUAUAUACCAAUAAACUGAGAGUAACAAACACAUGCACUCUCAAAUGUUCUAUAACAUUAUUACAUCAAAUGCAGAGUUCAGUUAAAGUUUGGAGAUCAGCAUUUUGUAAUAACAGCAGUUUUCAAUCAGUUAAGAAUAUCUAAGUUGCUCUUCUGCUGAAUUAAACAGGUACAGCAUAUGUCGGUAAGUGAUAUAAGGCAAAUACAACAAAUGUCUGAAAAUCAUGCUUUGGUAAAAGUAUUGGAGGACUUAACUGUGUUUAUCAAAUUGAAGGAAGACUAUGUGAGAAUGAAACAGACUUUGGAGUAGGCAGAAGUACGGCAGCUUCCAAUCUUAGCUGCAGAGCCCUAUGACCCUGGGUAUGGGGCUUCUUAUACAAACCAACCAUAACUUAAGGAUUCUACCAUCUUCCUUAUAAGACUGCUAUAAAUUAUUACAGAUGAUGGAAGAAAAGCAUAAGGAAUGUGGUAGAAAUUCAAUAAGCAGUGGCUAUUAUCUCUUUUCUGUAGUUGUAAAUCUAAUAGCUUCUAAUGCUGCCAAGCUGAUGAAGAGACUGGGGAGGAGCCUGAGAUCUUGUUGCAGAUGCCCCAAAAAUGGUUCCACAACCACUAAGAACAUACUAGCUCACAACUAGUUUCUGAGCUAGAUUAGAAAUGGUUAAAGUUACUGGAAAGAUGACCCUAUGGAUAAACAUGCAUCAUUAUUAGCAAACAAAUGGUACCAGUAAGUUGCAAAUAAAAAACACACACACACUAUUCUCAUUUGUUUCUACAUGGUAUGCUACAUGGAAGGCACAUUCCCCAAGAUUUAGACUAUUACUACCAGAUCAAGUCACUUAUAUAAAUCUUGCUGUCCAACAGAAAUAAACAAAUUUUUAAUCAGCCACUUUAAAAUAAAAUCAAAAUAUUUUGAUAGAAAAGAACCAUUAACUCAAAGUUUUGGUGUGGGUUGGGGCACACUGCGCUGUUUGCCUGUUU